UUCGCGAGUUACACAGCGGUCGUAAUGAGCUCGCAACGCUGACACACAUAGAUAUCGCGUUUGUUAGAAGUACGUACGAACGAAAAGGUCUCUUGGAGAAUGUUUUUCUGUGAGCGCGUCUCGCACGAUGCUCGAUUGAGAAACGCAUGGAUAAUAAGCGAGGAGAGAAAAUUGACAAAGUUCGAUCAGGUUUGAAACAAACAGAAGAGGGAAGAUUCUGAAAGCGCGGAAUCGCGCAAAACCGUUUCAACGAGAAAAGAAGAAACGUCGGGUGUCCUCUUUAACGUAGGUUAACGAACAUAAGACGCGGCUUUCCUUAUCUCGGGUCCAGAUCUGAAAAGUAGGAAAGUGCAGUUGGAGGAUAAAAGUUAUGGCUCUGUGGAGACUUUUUCGUGGAUUUCCGGGAUCAACGAGGCGCCAUCCGCAGAACGUUCACUGGCUCCGAUCUCUUUAAGCUCCGACGAGAAUCGGCUCGCAAGAAGUCCUCUAACUACCAUUCUUCCGAGCUAAGCCAAAUCAGAUAGCGCGUUUUCGAUGGAAACAUCGUUGUCGGUUAACGAUCGUGGCGCGAUCGAAAAAUUGCACGAUGUUCGCCCGAAUUUUGCAUUGUUCGUCAUUUUUAAAGGGAUAAAUCGAUUAUCGUGUCGCGAAGGCGUUAUUGCAAAAUGUCGUGGUUCGUCGGACGCUUUCAAUUUACAUAGGCCAACGACAAUCGUUCGCCGAAUAAAUGGGAAAACAGUAGGCCGUUGUUCGACUAUCAUUUCCGUUUGAGCUGAACGUGAAACGCGACUAAACCCAAAGGUACGAGAACGGGGUUCGAUCGAACGGUACCGGCGCGGCCCGUAAUUAACGUUCGAGUGACUGUUGCCUCGUUUCCACGGAGUUUCCACGGACUUUCGUCUCGAUUUUUGACCCGUGCGUGGUAAAACGUAGGACGUAGUCGAUUCGCAAGCCGCUUCGCAAAGUACUACUAGCAAAGAUUACGCUGCUUGUAGCGAUCGAGACGAUCGAUGCUAAGAGAAAUAGUCGCUCGAUCUUUGACACACCCGAUUUCUUCUCCGUUUCCAAAACGGGCAGAUCAGACGACAUUUUCGUAUUUUAACUCGCCUCUUAUUUUGGUAGAUCUGAAACGAACGAAGGGUCCGCGUUUAAUCGAUGCGACUUCCACUUAGAAGAUCCGCCAAGCUUCACGAACGACAAGUGUCCUUGGCGGAGAGCAUUUCUAGGUAGUCUAACCUUUCCUACUCUUUCCAUGAAGCAAGAAUGGUCCCCUGUACGGUGUCGUUGCAGAGAGAAGUUGGACUUGCAACGGGUCAAAAUACGCCGUUUCUACGGCGUUCGUAGCACGCGGCGCAGCACGAAACACGAAAGUGUUGAUGACUGAAAAGCGCGGUAUGCACUUUGUGCUUACUUGGUUACGUCUGCUUUUAGCCUUCAUGUUUGCCUUUAAAGCUGUCGAAAAUUUACGGCACCUUGGGCUGCGCGCGCGCUCUUUAACAAGGAUUUGCGUUUAUUACGAAAUUCCUCGGCUCUGCGGUUAUACACGCUCGUACGAGAGCGGAAGCGAGAAAAAAUUUGAAAAUGAACCAAUUAGAGCGUAAAACACGGAAAAGCUCGGCGACGCACGAUCGAGCUCUCGGCGAAGCGACGGAAAUACCGGAAUAGGAAGUACAUAGGGCAGGAACCGUAUACGUUUCUUCGAUCUACUACUCGCGUUACAUCGAAAAGCGCGAAUCCUGUCAGAAAUAGGUAAACAAAUAAUUAGACGGACGUGUAGGUUGUGAUACGUGAUGCGAAAGCGGCUGUUCGAAAGAGCUACUCUGCAAGGAGAGAAUUCGACGAGAAAUUGAUCGAACUCGCAGGUUUUUUUAUACGACAAACGAAAUAAAACUAAAGUUUUCUAGCACGUCUUCGCAAAGUAGACCUGCCGAAACUUUUCUCCGAAGAAAAUCUCGCGAAAAAGAAUGAUGCUGGUCGGAAAGAGGGGAAAGCUAAACCGAAUUAGACUACUAGAGCAGAACGGACUAGGGCAUCGAAAAAAUGACGAACACCACUCGCUUUGUUCGUUCGUGUUCGCUUUCACGUUUCACGAGUAAGUGACUUUCUUUCCAUAAGUUUCGUACUCGAACGCAGUUGGUCUAUUCCCCUUUCGCCCCUACUAUUUUCAUAGUUAGUUUACCUCUCGCAAAAUCGGACUUGUCCGAAAAUCUCUGCUUAAUUACGAAUACUACGGCAUUCGAAUACAUAAAGAGUAAUUAGAAUGUUCCUGUCUCCUUUUAGAAUUCUGCAGUUUAUCCGCCACCUCGCGAUCGCUCUUGCUUUCCCGUUUCCAGCUUUUUCCGUACGCUCUUUCAUUCGCUCCUCCGCUUCGUUGCCAUUUUCCCAAGACCACCUCCAUUUAAAUAAAUUCCGUUUGCGUCCGAACUCGUUACCGAGUUCGACUAUGGACAAGUUACAAAUUAGCAGGUACCGUUGAUUCUUGGUUCUGUAAAAAAUUCAACUUGCAGCCGGAGGUUUCAAUGAAAUUGAAAAAGAUCGUGGAGCGAGGCACCGGUUGAAGAUGGCAAAAGGGAAAUACCGCUAACAAUGCAAUCUAUUUCUAUGAAAGCGAAUCGCAAAGAUCGCCUCUCUUAAUGAGUUCCGCAUAAGGAUUAAAAACAAUAGAGUUAUUGUCGCCGUGAGACGCGGAUCGUCGAAACGCGCUGCAGCUCCCGUUGAUCGAACAUCGAAGAAACGAAGGAAGAUCUGAUAUUCAUCGAGAAGAAUAAUCGCGCGACGUCGAGUAGCUUUGAUAUUUGACUUCCCACAGAUAUUCCCGACACGAUGUUUGGAAAUAUUUGAUCGUUCACUCGAAGCAGGAAGUCAGGGCGAGAUCAUUCUUGACAUCGUCGCUUUCUGAGGAAAUCGGGAAAAAUCAGAAAGCGGGAAACGGUAUCUCGCUUGUAACCUGGGAAAGCUAAUUAAUCAGAUUCGUCGUCCAAGCGAAGUCGUGGAUACGCUGAUUUGAACGAAAAGCAGAAUCGACUGUUCCGCAUUCCGUUAAACCAGCGUGUUCGGAGUAAAAACCGGCUGAAAAAAUGCGGUAAAUGAGACGGCUCGCCAACCUUCGGUUAAAAGGCACGGGCGAUAUCGUCGCAUUUGGCUCCUUUACCAGCGUAUUUCCUAGUUGGUGUUUUUUGCCUGGACUCUUCCCCUUGGGGAGCUCCCGUUCCGCCAUUCCGACAAACAAUUUUCCCUUCGACCAUACCACCUCUGCGCCGUUUUGCAUUGCUUUCUUUUUCCAAUACAGCGCGCACGUAGUCUCACUUUCUCGCUCUCUGGCUCGAUUCAAAGUCCAUGGACAAAACGGUUACUGGAACCGUACUUGUUGAGCCGCUUAAUGGGUCUCAGAGCAUCGUGAAAGUUGCUCCUGCAAUUUUUCACUCUGCUAAGUCUCCGAAACUCCAUUCGAUUUCAGACUGCUCGACUUGUUCGAAGUUUGUCGCGUCGGAGCUCGCCGCUCUCCUUUCGACCUCCGCUCUCCGCUGCCAACCCUUGCUUUCGCUAUGCGUCCCAUUUCCCUGCUUUCUCCUCCCUUACCUCCUGACUUCCUUUUGUCCCUCUACGCUUUACGGCUAUGUAUAUACUCGUUUGGCGCGCAUUUCCAUCCCAUCGCGUCGAGUCGCAUCUCCGCGAAGGAUACUCCGCGACGCUCGAGCGCGCUCUCGAGGUGCGCUCUCUAGACGCGGAUCUUCGAUAAAAGGGAAUUCACGCAACGCGCGAUAGAUCCACGGGGAAUGCGUCGAGAAAUUGCACUCUCUCGCAUUUAAUUUCAGCUCGUGUUUCUAUACACGUCCGUGACGAAAGCACGUUUAUUAAGGUUCCAAGCGUACGCACAUUUACAGGCGACGGUGUGCGCGAAAUCAGGGAACAUCUCUUUUAUUUGGCGUGGCAAUGGCGGGGAUCUCUAAAUACGAAUAACUCAGCAACCAGGAGGGAAAGGAAAGGGUGGCGGGAGGCCGACUGUGCGAUUAUCUCGUGAAAUUGCCUUUCUCCAUAUUUGCAUCCAUCGCUUUGAUCAAGUUGAUUCUAUCAUUGAUAUUUUAUGUAAAUAUCGGCCGCAGAAGCUGGUACUCGUAGAAAACUACGAAACUCUGGCGAAGUUGCCACGCGGUCGCACGUGGUGCGAUGUCUAGCGAAAUUAUUCCACCGACCAGAUUACGCGAAUUUAAAAGAGGAUAUGUAACGUCGUUGUCGUGGUCACAGCUGCCUAGCCAUCGCAUUAUCGUUGUUCUCGCAAUAAAGCGACAUUUUACUCUCUUAAAUUCGUCUCGCUGCAUCUUGCCCGUGAUUCGAUGGCUAUCGUGGUAAAGCUGAAACAGCCGCCGCGGAAUUCAUAGUAUCAACCGAUGUCUCUAGACGACGCUUUAACUUAGGACGUCGCUAGAUACACGGCGAAUUUCGUUACGCCUCUCGGUGUCGCGGUUAAACGCGAUCCAGCGAAUGAACAGGUUGCGUUAGCGAAGAGUAAUCCGCUCGGAGUCGUAUAGUGCAAAAGUGUAGCAAAUCCGAGUAGAGCUGAUGGACGAUGCAACGUCGAGCGCGAUGCUCGGAGUCCGAGUUGUUAAUUUCGCUGGAUAACUUCCCGGCAAAUAUUAUCGUCACUGAUUCGCCGGUAAAACGCGCGUCUAUCAGAGACGCAGCGGUCUGGUACCGAGCGACGUAUCGAAUUCGCCGCUAAUGAAGCUUGCAGCGUCGUAUCCCGUGCACCGAUGGCUUUUGAAUUUGGUCGGACCUCUAAUCGAAGAGGAGGGAACCGGCGCGACCGUUUCGUUUACGCGAUGGAGAUUCGAGGCAGCAGGCAACUGGCUCCCACGGUACGCGCCCUACAAAAACCGACUACCGCGAGUCAGCUCUGAUACCGACCAGCAGCGAACAUGUUGAAAGCAUUAGGAAGUUUCUUGUUACUCUGCCGGCUAGGAAUUAGAGGCAAUCAUUCUCGGCUUAACCGAUGCGCGAUUCAAACGGUUUUGCCCUGUCCUUUAGCCCACUCUCUCAUUUCGCCGAAUUAACCGCGCUAAUAAGGCCGACAUGCUAAAGUCACGUUUAUCGAACCGGGUGCGGAAACCCGAAAUCAAGAAUCGAACCAUCCACCGACGCGUUCGAUUCUUCGUCUUGGCGGCGUAUUUCGACGGUCGUUUGGGUCGAUCGAGAAUUCGCUGGCAAGCAAAACACGACGUCGCUGGAGGACAGAAAUGGCGAUAAGGAAUGACAAAUAGAGCCAUGGUACGUGUUGAUAGUAUGUAUAUAAAUAUUCAAAGGCAACGAGCGGUGUUUCCACGGCAGCGGUGUUAAUGACUGAAGUCGGUUCGAUAAACGGAGCGUCUCGGUCGUCGCGAAUUAUUCGAACACGCGUGACACAAUGGAUGUGGGUGUAGGCGGUGAACGGGAACGAGCACUCGCGCACGUGUAACGUAACAUUGCGGCAAUGAUGAGGUCGUCACUGAGGCAGAUUAUUACGAGACGGAUCGAGCGACACGGAACAAAAACAGUCUUGGUAACUGUGUCUGGAAAUGUGAAAGGCCUCUUCAUUUGAUCGUAAAAUGCGCACCAAGAUGUCUAGGUAGCGUCGAAAGGAAAUUGAUUAUUUUGUUUCCGAAAGCGAUCGUAGAUAAAUUUAGAAUGACCGGAAGCGUUUGUAUUCUCCUGCAAACUGCAGUCUUUUCUUUCGAUUAGAGAAAGGUCUACAGAGCUUUGGGAUAUUACGCGAAUUUUUUUGUCUCUAGGAGAUCCAUUAAUUUUUACGAGCACGUAGCCACGUUGAAUUCCUAACGGGAUUCCAGGUAAACGAGUCUUUGUCCAUUUUCAAAUGAAAAGUACCGAAUUCAUUUUUUAGAUUAGUCUUCGACGUCGGUUGGAAAUAUCGAGUCAAAAAGAGAUCGCUGGUCGGUUGGCAAUUUUAACGAGCGAAACGAGAAGCAGUUGUAAGGUUACGUAGAGAACACUCGAAAGAGGUUACAAGUUUUCUCCUCUUUGACGGAAUUACGGAGACGUAUCGAACGUAUCUUUCUCCCUUUUCAUUUUGAUCCUACGUAAUUACAUUAAGAAUUUUACCGGAAUUUCUGAAUUUCCCUAUGCACGGAAUCACCUGUGAACCUCCCGUGAUCUCUUACUCCGUAAAGAAACACUAUUUCAUCUUUGCUCUUUGGUCUGGCAAUUACUGACAGUUCUUCAACGUUUCUCUCUCUCUCUCUCUCUCUUUUCCUCUCUCUUUCCCUCUUCUUCUAAAACACGCGCAUACGGCUACAGCUCUGUUUACGUUUAAUUACAAUGAUUCGUCGAACACUCCAAACGAUUCAGGUCGGCCGCACUGUCUUCUCUACGUUUUACCCACCUUUCAAAUAACCGAUAGUAUCAGCUGCGGGAUAAUAUUAUGCUCGCAAGAGGCUUUCCGUGUGACUUAAUUAAAACCGCGUAAAUAACCGGUUCAGCGUAUUCCGCGUUGUGACGUUAAAGUUUUAGUUUCUAUUUAGCCGACUUUUAUUUCAGCCAUCGAUAUUUGCUAUCGCCGUGAAAACGAUUCGCCUUCUUCGUCCAUUUACGAACCAAUUUUUCACUCUACGUUCGUAUCCAAAUCGCUGGUUUAACGCAAACUGCGCGUUACAAAAUUAGUUUCGGGUCGUGGCGAGUAGUAGCGGUGCGUCGACACACGUUCUUGUCUAGUUCUUGACCAACUAUAUCAGUCAAAUUGAAGUUCGUUAAUAAA